GCUUGUCUCAAAGAUUAAGCCAUGCAUGUCUAAGUAUAAGCUUUUAUACGGUGAAACUGCGAAUGGCUCAUUAAAACAGUUAUAGUUUAUUUGAUGGUCACUCACUACUUGGAUAACCGUGGUAAUUCUAGAGCUAAUACAUGCGUCAAGACCCGACUUUUUGGAAGGGUUGUAUUUAUUAGAUACAAAACCAAUGCGGAGCAAUCCGGUUUGUGGUGAUUCAUAAUAACUUUGCGAAUCGCAUGGCCUUGCGCCGGCGAUGAAUCAUUCAAAUUUCUGCCCUAUCAACUUUCGAUGGUAAGGUAUUGGCCUACCAUGGUUACAACGGGUAACGGGGAAUUAGGGUUCGGUUCCGGAGAGGGCGCCUGAGAAAUGGCGACCACAUCCAAGGAAGGCAGCAGG
rnacentral:rRNA from 1 species